GCGAAAUGCGAUAAGUAAUGUGAAUUGCAGAAUUCAGUGAAUCAUCGAAUCUUUGAACGCACCUUGCGCCCUCUGGUAUUCCGGAGGGCAUGCCUGUUUGAGUGUCAUGUAGACUCAAUCCCUCGGGUUUCCGAGGAGAUUGGACUUGGGUGUUGCCGCUCUGCCGGCUCGCCUUAAAAGACUUAGCGGGAUAGCACCGUAGUCGGCGUAAUAAGUUUCGUCGGUGAAGGUUGUGAUGACUGCUUACAAUCGCCCUCGGGCAAUUUUUGACUCUGACCUCAAAUCAGGUAGGACUACCCGCUGAACUUAAGCAUAUCAAUAAGCGGAGGAAAAGAAACUAACAAGGAUUCCCUUAGUAGCGGCGAGCGAAGCGGGAAGAGCUCAAAUUUGAAAGCUGGCGUCCUACGGGCGUCCGCAUUGUAAUCUAUAGAGGCGUUUUCUGUGCUGGACCGUGUCCAAGUCCCUUGGAACAGGGUAUCAAAGAGGGUGACAAUCCCGUACUUGACACGACAACCAGUGCUCUGUGAUACGUCUUCUACGAGUCGAGUUGUUUGGGAAUGCAGCUCA
rnacentral:rRNA from 1 species